rnacentral:rRNA from 1 species
GAUGAACGCUGGCGGCGUGCCUAAUACAUGCCAGUCGAGCGAACAGACGAGGAGCUUGCUCCUCUGACGUUAGCGGCGGACGGGUGAGUAACACGUGGAUAACCUACCUAUAAGACUGGGAUAACUUCGGGAAACCGGAGCUAAUACCGGAUAAUAUAUUGAACCGCAUGGUUCAAUAGUGAAAGACGGUUUUGCUGUCACUUAUAGAUGGAUCCGCGCCGCAUUAGCUAGUUGGUAAGGUAACGGCUUACCAAGGCAACGAUGCGUAGCCGACCUGAGAGGGUGAUCGGCCACACUGGAACUGAGACACGGUCCAGACUCCUACGGGAGGCAGCAGUAGGGAAUCUUCCGCAAUGGGCGAAAGCUUGACGGAGCAACGCCGCGUGAGUGAUGAAGGUCUUCGGAUCGUAAAACACUGUUAUUAGGGAAGAACAAAUGUGUAAGUAACUAUGCACGUCUUGACGGUACCUAAUCAGAAAGCCACGGCUAACUACGUG